GCUCGUAGUUGAAUUUCUGGUCUCGGACAUCGGUCUGCCUCAAACGAGGUACGCACCAGGUGUCUGAAUCCAUCCUCGGGGAAAACGUAUCUGUCAUUCAGUUGAUGGGUUCGGGAUCCUCGUCAUUUACUGUGAGCAAAAUAGAGUGUUCAAAGCAGGCUUAUGCCGUUGAAUACAUUAGCAUGGAAUAAUAAGAUAGGACCUUGGUCUAAUUUUGUUGGUUUGUACUCCAAGGUAAUGAUUAAUAGGGAUAGUUGGGGGUAUUCGUAUUCAAUUGUCAGAGGUGAAAUUCUUGGAUUUAUGGAAGACGAACUACUGCGAAAGCAUUUACCAAGGAUGUUUUCAUUAAUCAAGAACGAAAGUUAGGGGAUCGAAGAUGAUUAGAUACCAUCGUAGUCUUAACCAUAAACUAUGCCGACUAGGGAUUGGUGGACGUUUGUAAUGACUCCAUCAGCACCUUAUGAGAAAUCAAAGUCUUUGGGUUCCGGGGG
rnacentral:rRNA from 1 species